rnacentral:rRNA from 1 species
AUUGAACGCUGGCGGAAUGCUUUACACAUGCAAGUCGAACGGCAGCACGGACUUCGGUCUGGUGGCGAGUGGCGAACGGGUGAGUAACAUAUCGGAACGUAUCCAAUAAUGGGGGAUAACGAGUCGAAAGAUUCGCUAAUACCGCAUACGCCCUACGGGGGAAAGCUGGGGACCUUCGGGCCUGGCGUUAAUGGAGCGGCCGAUAUCUGAUUAGCUAGUUGGUGAGGUAAAGGCUCACCAAGGCGACGAUCAGUAGCUGGUCUGAGAGGUCGACCAGCCACACUGGAACUGAGACACGGUCCAGACUCCUACGGGAGGCAGCAGUGAGGAAUUUUGGACAAUGGGCGCAAGCCUGAUCCAGCCAUUCCGCGUGAGUGAAGAAGGCCUUCGGGUUGUAAAGCUCUUUCGCAAGGGAAGAAAACUUAGCCACUAACAUUGGUUGAGGUUGACGGUACCUUGAUAAGAAGCACCGGCUAACUACGCGCCAGCAGCCGCGGUAA